AAAAACUUUCCAACCAAAUUAGGCCCAAAGAAAAGCACAACGCUUGACAUGACUUGACUUGCUCAGCUUGUCUAGAAACUGGUAACUCUUCACAACCACAUUAAUUCCCUAUGAUUUUUUCUGUAAUUCGUAUCAUCACCCAACCUCAAAAAUCUAGCAACCGAAUUAGAUCCAGAAACAGUUUCCACAAUCCAUUUUUCUUCUAGUCCAAUAUCCUUCUCUUGGAUUUUCUCUCUACUUCAAGUCUCUUGAUUCCUUUCUCAAACAUAUUGACCAUGGCUUUCGUUGCAGAGGCUGCUCUCUCUGCUUCCUUUGACUUGUUGUUGGCCAAGAUUUCCUCUUCCGACUUCAACUUUGUCACUGAGAAGCGGGUUCGCGAGGAGAUUGAGAACUGGAAAAAGACAUUGGAGAUCAUCCACGCAGUCCUUGCUGAUGCAGAGGAGAAGAAAAUGAAGAACAAGGCUGUGAAGAUUUGGCUGGCUGACCUCCAAGACUUGGCUUAUGACGUCGAUGACAUCUUGGACGAGUUUGCCACUGAAGCUUUGGGGCGUAAGUUGAUGAAAGCACAUCGGGCCAGCACUAGUAAGGCACAAAAAUAUCUUACUAGUUUAAAUCCACGUUCCAUCAUGUUUAACUCUAAGAUGAUGUCCAAGAUCAAAGAGAUUACAGGAAGGUUGGAAGAUUUAGCAACAAGAAAGAUUAACCUGCAACUAGAGAAAUAUGUUGGAAGGCCCAUGACAAUACCAAAAAGCAAGCCAAGCACUUCUCUGGUGAAUGAAGCUACUGUACAAGGCAGAGACAAAGACAAGAAGGCAAUAAUUGAUCUGCUUUUGAGGAAGGAUGGCAAUGAUGCUGGAGUUUCUGUGAUUCCCAUCACCGGCAUGGGAGGGAUAGGCAAGACAACCCUUGCUCAGCUUGUCUACAAUGACAGUAGCAUAGGAGAUUAUUUUGAUCUCAAAGCAUGGGUAUGUGUUUCUAAUGAAUUUGAUGUUAUUAAGAUAACGAAAACAAUUCUAGAAUCGGUCACUUUCCAGUAUUGUGAUAUACAUGACUUGAAUUUACUUCAAGUCAAACUAAAGGAAAAGCUAUCGAGCAAGAAAUUCUUGCUUGUUUUGGAUGAUGUUUGGAAUGAGAAUUAUGAUGAUUGGACAAAGCUUCGAUCUCCUUUUGAUGCCGGGAUUACUGGAAGCAAAAUAAUCGUAACAACACGUAAUUCUAAUGUUUCAUCAAUUAUGAGAACUGUUGCAGACCACUCAUUGCAAAUUUUAUCAGAUAAUGAUUCUCUCUGUAUGCUUGCUCAUCAUGCAUUAGAAAGAGGGGAUUUUACUGGGCAUCUAGACCUGAAAGAGAUCGGCAUGGAGAUUGUGAAGAAAUGUGGUGGCUUGCCUUUGGCCAUUAAAACUAUCGGAGGACUAUUGCGCACUAAGGUGAAUCAUGAUGCAUGGAACUACAUAUUAAAGAGUGAUAUUUGGAAUCUACCUGAAGAGAAAAGUGACAUAACUCCAGCUUUAUGGUUGAGUUACUAUUAUCUUCCUUCGCAAUUAAAGCAGUGUUUUGCAUAUUGCUCUCUAGUCCCUAAAGAUUAUGAAUUUAAAGAGGAGGAAAUAGUCUUGUUAUGGAUGGCAGAAGGUUUUCUAAAUGGAGCAAACACUAAAAGGAAUAUUCAAGAUUUGGGUAGCAAGUAUUUUGAAGAACUAGUAUCAAGGUCAUUUUUUCAAGCAUCUAACAAGAAUGAAUCCCAAUUUGUAAUGCAUGACCUAAUUAAUGAUCUAGCUCAGUUCGUUGCAGGAGAAGUAUAUUUUAAAAGGGAAAGGCAUGAUGAUAUGAACGGUCCAAUUAAUCGCACUCGCCAUUCCUCUUAUAUCAUUGGUAGUUAUGACGGAAUCCAAAAGUUUGAGACCUUUUUUGAAGCAAAGUCUCUACGAACCUACCUGCCCUUUAAGAUGAUGCAGCAAUGGAGAUGCUACUUGAGCAAUAACGUUCUCAAUGAUUUACUGCCGGCAUUAAAAUGCUUAAGGGUGCUCUCUUUGAAAAGGUACUACAUCACAGAAAUUCCUUCUUCUAUUGGAAAUUUGAAGCAUUUACGCUAUCUAAAUUUCUCUUAUACCAAAAUAAAAAGUCUCCCUGAUUCAAUAUGUAGUCUUUAUAAUUUGGAGACUCUUUUGUUGAGGUAUUGUGAGAAUUUUGAAAAACUACCCCUAAAAAUAGGGAUUUUAGACAACUUAUGUCAUCUUGAUAUGACUGAUGCAAAUUUAAUAAAGGAAAUGCCAAGUGGAAUUGGAAAAUUAACAAAUCUUCAAGUGUUGUCUAAUUUUAUUGUGGGUCAAGGUGAUGGAUUGAAUAUAAGAGAGAUGCAGAAUUUGUUAAAUCUCAAAGGUCAGCUUUGUAUUUCUGAAUUGCAUAAUGUGGAUGAAGCUCAACAUGCAUGGGAAGCUAAGCUAUCUAGUAAGUGUGACCUUGAUAACUUAGAGUUGAAGUGGAGUGCAGAUUUCAAUGAAAAUCUUAGAAAGAAAGAAGUUGAGAAAGAAGUGUUGAACUCGCUUCAACCUCAUAAAGAUAUUAAAGAGCUUGCCAUCAAGUAUUAUGGUGGAAUAGAGUUCCCGGAUUGGGUGGAAGAUGAUUCAUUCAUAUAUUUGCAAGUUUUAAGACUUGAAUAUUGUGAAAAUUGCACAUUCUUACCAGGAGUUGGAAAAUUACCACUUUUAAAACAUCUUUAUGUCAAGGGGAUGAGAAGUGUGAUUAGUGUUGGCAAUGAGUUUCAUGGAGUGAAUGGGCCAAAUGUAUUUCCAUCAUUAGAGACCUUGUACUUUGAAGAUAUGCCAGAAUGGAAAGAAUGGAAACUUUAUGAAGUUGACGAACAAGGUAAGCAAUUUUGUUGCCUUCGAGAACUCUUUAUUGAAAAUUGUCCAAAAUUAGAAAAAACUUUGCCUGAUCAGCUUUAUUCUUUGGAGAAACUUGUAAUUCGUAAGUGCCAAGAAUUGGUAGUUUCAGUUUCGAAUCUUCCGAUGCUAUGUGAACUUGAUAUUUAUGGAUGCAAAGAAGUAGUGCUUGGGAGUUAUGAUGAUCUAUGGUCAGUUAAAAAAAUCAGUCUUUCAAACAUUUCAAAGUUUGCAUGUGUAACAAAAGAAAUGAAGAUGGUAGAGUCGAUGAAAGUAGAAGUUCUCGAAAUUAAUAGUUGUGAGGAGCUGACGUCUUUGUGGCAAACAAAGUGGGGGUGGUUGGCGCCUUUGAGAUCUCUUCGUACUUUAAAGUUUGAAAAUUGUACGCAAGUUGUGUGUAUAGGAGGAGGGGCAAAGGAGGAGGCAAAAGAAGAGCUUUUGCAAUUAGAAAUACCGUGCAACAUUGAAUUUGUGAGAUUAGCAUAUUAUCAAGGGUUAGAGAGAUUAUCGAAGACCUUUCACAACCUUACAUGUCUUACACUGUUAUGGAUUGAAAAGUGCCCGAAAUUGGUUUCACUUUCAACGGACAACUUGCCUCCAACUCUUAGGACUUUGAUCAUUUGGAGUUGUGAGAAUUUGGAAUGUUUACUGGAUGACAAGGAGAAUAUCAAUUUCAGUAGCACAUCUCUUCUUCAAUCUCUUGAUAUUAGAGACUGUAAAGCUCUAAAAUCAUUAUCAUGGAGUGGUAAGUUACCCGUGCAACUUAAGAGGUUGCUUAUUUCGGGCUGUCCAGAGCUUGAAUGUUUAGCACGGGAAAUUGGGGAUAAUACUUGUCUUGAAUCUAUUGAACUCUCCAAUUGUGGUAAUAUUACAUAUUUACCCCAAGGACUGGACAAGCUCAGCCGUCUUCAAGAGAUUUCUUUAAGGGGUUGUCUAAAUCUUGUCCGUCUCCCAGAAGCUCUGCCCAACCUCCACCAUCUUCAAGAAUUGAUUAUAGAUGAAUGUCCAAGGGUGCAAAAUUCCAUCGGAGAAAGGGGUUUCCCUACCAACCUAACUUCCCUUUCGAUUAUUGAACCCAAUAUUAGUAAGGCAGUAAUGGAAUGGGGAUUGCAUAGACUCACCUCUCUUACAUAUCUUAACAUUGAUGGUAGUAAUUGCACAGAUGCGACGUCGUUUCCUCAGGAGGAGAUAGGAAUGAAGCUGCCCCCUUCUCUCACCAAUCUUACUCUCAGAAAUUUCAAAAAUGUAAGAAAGCUAUCCUCCAACGGCUUUCAAAACCUCACCUCUCUUCAAUCUUUGUGGAUCAUCAAUUGCCCAAAGCUCAAAUCCAUUCCCCGAAAGGAAAUGCUUCCCUCGCUUUUGCGACUUUAUAUUUGGGAAUGUCCGGUGCUAAAGAAAAGGUGCAAAAGGGACGAAGGAAAACAAUGGUCCAACAUCGCCCACAUACCUUUCGUAACAAUUGAUGGUAGAUUCAUCUACGAAUGAUCAAGAGGAAGAAUUAAAGCAUGUCGACUCAGGUUUGGUAGACAUUAAGAAGAAGCUUCUUAGCAUUAGAGUAUGAGCAGGCUUGAAAUCCAUCUCUUUUCCUCUUAAUAAAUGGGGUUGCAGCUUUCACUUCACUCUGCACAUCCUUCAAGCUACUACAGGAUGAACAAAACUCAUGAUUUUGUAUCUCAUCCCGAUGCCCUCAGAAUCAAUGAUAGAAAGUUUUCCAGGCAGCAUGUAGUGUUUCUCCUGCCUGGUGGAAAAGAUGUGAAUUGAGGACUUAUGAUCUGUUGUUGCCAGGAAGAUAGUCAGGAAUUUGAGUGCGAAUUACCUAAGAAAGAAUGAAAUUCAAACCUUUGGACGUAAUUCAUUGACAACAAUUAAUACCAAUGCUUAGAUACUUUGAUUACCAACUUUCAAAUAAUUUAGUGGAGAGAAGAAGAUGAUCCCAAUGCAUUGUGAAUUUGGAAGCCAGGCUGGUGCUUUGACUUGACUCUACACUUCCUUCCAAGUACUAUAGGAAGUAUUUGUUUCUGUCAUCAUUCAUUGGAUGUGAGCAGAAGCAGUAUAAUGACAGUAGCCACUCCACAAGAUGUUCUACCAAUUAAUGUUAGAUGUCUGUAGUUCCUUGCUUGCUUAUGCCAUGGAUGAACAAAACUCAUGAUUUUGUAUCUCAUUCCAAUGCCCUCAAAAUUAAAGUCGGAAAGGUUUCCAGGCAGCAUGUGAGUGUCUGUUUGGGCACUAGUGGAUUUCUUGAUCCUUUCUUCAAAAAAAAAAAAUCAUCUUAUAGAGCGCCCUUAAACCAUGGGCAGUGAUGUUGAUUCAAGAAUGUCUAAUUCCAAAGACUUGAUGGUUAGAGAGCUGCAUGGUGUAAAGUAAUAACCGACUGCCAAAAGUGAUUUGAUGGAGAAUUGUGUGGCUAAGGGAAAAAUGGAUGAGAAAGUGACCACCUUAAUUUAAAGGAACAAUGAGGCAUAGUUAUGGUGUUUUAACGACUUGAUGUGCCUCCAGUCUCCACAGACAGUUCAUACUUGGUGAGAUUGUUUCUUCUUAGCAUGUUUCAUAAGGUGAUUAUUGAUGUUAGAAAUUUAGCUUUUUAUUGAUAACUUCACGUCAUAUCGUUUACUUGUACUAGAGAAGACUUUUGUCUUCCUAUUAUUUUGAGUAGUGGAACAAUUUGAACGGACUAUGGUCCCGUGGUUUUUCCCCUUACCAAGGGGUUUUCCACGUAAAAUC